GAUGAACGCUGGCGGCGUGCCUAAUACAUGCAAGUCGAGCGAACAGACGAGGAGCUUGCUCCUCUGACGUUAGCGGCGGACGGGUGAGUAACACGUGGAUAACCUACCUAUAAGACUGGGAUAACUUCGGGAAACCGGAGCUAAUACCGGAUAAUAUAUUGCACCGCAUGGUUCAAUAGUGAAAGACGGUUUUGCUGUCACUUAUAGAUGGAUCCGCGCCGCAUUAGCUAGUUGGUAAGGUAACGGCUUACCAAGGCGACGAUGCGUAGCCGACCUGAGAGGGGGAUCGGCCACACGGGAAGUGAGACACGGUCCAGACACCUACGGGAGGCAGCAGAAGGGAAUCUUCCGCAAUGGGCGAAAGCCUGACGGAGCAACGCCGCGUGAGUGAUGAAGGUCUUCGGAUCGUAAAACUCUGUUAUUAGGGAAGAACAAAUGUGUAAGUAACUAUGCACGGCUUGACGGUACCUAAUCAGAAAGCCACGGCUAACUACGUG
rnacentral:rRNA from 1 species